CACACACACACACACACACGAACAGAAGCCCUAAUCGGGCAAGAAGAAGAACAGUGCACGCGAGGAGCUCGAUCGGGACGAUCACGAAGGAACUCGACGAUCAGAACGGACGAAGAUCGCAAGGCGUUUCCGAUCUCUGUUCUCACGACUAUGAAACAUGAUUGCCCACCUACACAGGCUAAGUUAUUCCUCGCCACGCAGAGAAGAAAGUCGUGGCGAGAAGAAAGGAUAAUUUGGGAUUUGUUGAUAAAAUGUUCGGGAAAACUAUGCUAAGGGAUUAGACUGCGAGCCUAAGGUUUUUAAGAAAACUCACACUCGAAAAGAUGAUCAAAGACGAGAAGUGCAGGUUAAUCAUAGAUCAAAGGGUGUCUUGGAGGUGUUCGAUAGUACAAGUAUAGAGACAUCUUCAGCAUUUGUCGGUAGCAAUUCGUUCUCUUCAAUUGCAGUUGACAAGCACAUCUUUUGUCAGGCUAUCUCUCUUAAGAAUAAAAAGUGUGUUUAUGACUUCAACUCUCAAGUUAAUCCGUCUUACCCGAUUGCAUUCGAUAAUACCUUUAAUAGUUCAAAUGUGUUCAUGUCCCAUGAUUUAAAAGAAAUGAGACAGAUGAAGGAGAAGUUGUAUUCCAUGCAGAAUGAGAUUGAGGAAUUGAGACAGAUAAUGACCCAAAUAACCACUGUGCAUGUGCAACUAUGUCAAUGACAGCAAGAGAUAAUUGAGUGGAAGGAUCAUAUGGAUAGCAUGAUAUCUGUACUAUUAAAGCAAUCUACUACAUUUGUUGGCUCAUCGAUAGACUCAUCAGGUGGAUCUUCCAUUAGUGUCGAUAGAUUUUAGGUUGUAGAGCUUUCUAGAUAAAUCUAUUCACGAACGAUGUUACUUAUUACUACUAUAUAUUUAUCCAUGGAUAUUUUAUUUAUUGUGAUGAAUUUAUAUUUAUGCAAAGAUUUUAAGUUAA